UAAUACGUAGGGAGCAAGCGUUGUCCGGAAUCAUUGGGCGUAAAGCGCGCGUAGGCGGCCCGAUAAGUCCGCUGUGAAAGUCAACGGCUCAACUGUUGGAUGCCGGUGGAUACUGUCGGGCUAGAGUACGGAAGAGGCAAGUGGAAUUCCUGGUGUAGCGGUGGAAUGCGCAGAUAUCAGGAGGAACACCUAUAGCGAAGGCAGCUUGCUGGGACGUUACUGACGCUAAGGCGCGAAAGCGUGGGGAGCGAACAGGAUUAGAUACCCUGGUAGUCCACGCCGUAAACGAUGAGAACUAGGUGUGGGAGGUGUCGACUCCUCCCGUGCCGUCGCUAACGCAUUAAGUUCUCCGCCUGGGGAGUACGGCCGCAAGGCUAAAACUCAAUGAAUUGACGG
rnacentral:rRNA from 1 species